rnacentral:misc_RNA from 1 species
AAUACUAACAAUGGUUAACUCUAGUGGGUAAAAUCAAAGUGAUAU